rnacentral:lncRNA from 1 species
AUGCGAGCAGAGCGCCCCAGGGAGGUCGGAGACGCAAAAGGACCAAGUUCAGCAAGACCCAGUACCAGGUGCUCAUCGAGGCCUUCGAGAGGGACUCAUACCCUGAUAUCACUGCCAGAGAAGAACUGGCUCGACGAACCCAGAUCCCUGAGCCCAGAAUCCAGGUCUGGUUUCAGAACCGGAGAGCCCGAAUCCCCAAGAGCAACCAGAGGAGGCCAGGCGUGGAGGCAGGUGCCCAGGCGCCAGGGUCCGGUCAGCACGGCAGGGGCGCCCCCCACUGCGCCUGCCAGCCAAGCUUUGUGGGGGCCCCGAGCACCGCUGGCCACUUCUUGGCGUCGGAGGGCACUUCUGGUCAGGCCAUCCCAUCGGGGCACGCUGCUGUCGUGGACGAGAACGUGGCCUUGCAUGACGUGGAGACUCCAGGCAGCGCACUGGGCGAGCCUUCCGGAGAUUUCUAUCUCUCUCCCUUGGGCUUCAGCCCCGAAGCCCUGUGUCCGUUUCCUGCUUCCCUGCAGCCCCUCUCCCAGCCGGAAGAAACCGGAGCUCAGUGGGGGGACCUGGGACAGCUCCUGCCCUACGGGGACUGUGCCCUGCAGGGCUGGGAACAGCCUCCCGCCUCCAGUGAGCCGCAGCCGCAGCCGUGGUGGGGCUGGCAGCCUUCGCCCUCACUGGAGCGAGACGUGUUGCCCCCACAGCCCCAGCCCCCGGGGCCCUGGGAGCAGCCAGCAUGGCCCCUGCCCCCCACGGAGCCCUGGCCCCAGCCGUCACUGGAGCAGGUGCCCAUGGGCGUCGGGAGCAGUUUCCCCACCCCCCUGGGACACGGGAUGCUUGAGGGAGGCCCCGGGGCCCCCACACACCCCGGCCCCCAAUCCCGCAGCUGUGGGGCCAUGCUGGGAGCUGCUGCUACAGCGAAACGUUGAAAUGACUUCAGCUCCAAUGGUAGGAGAUAGUGAGUGA